AUUGAACGCUGGCGGCAGGCCUAACACAUGCAAGUCGAACGAGUGGCGGACGGGUGAGUAAUGUCUGGGAAACUGCCUGAAGGAGGGGGAUAACUACUGGAAACGGUAGCUAAUACCGCAUACCAUCGGAUGUGCCCAGAUGGGAUUAGCUAGUAGGUGGGGUAAAGGCUCCGCUAGGCGACGAUCCCUAGCUGGUCUGAGAGGAUGACCAUCCACACUGGAACUGUGACCCGGUCCAGACUCCUCCGGGAGGCAGCAGUGGGGAAUAUUGCACAAUGGGCGCAAGCCUGAUGCAGCCAUGCCGCGUGUAUGAAGAAGGCCUUCGGGUUGUAAAGUACUUUCAGCGGGGAGGCGUUACCCGCAGAAGAAGCACCGGCUAACUCCGUGCCAGCCGCCGCGGUAAUUC
rnacentral:rRNA from 1 species